GCCGCGAACGAACCGGCCCCGCCGUAGGUUGUUUCUAGGGCGAGUGGUCAUUCAUGGUAGAGAUAAAAUUUGUUUAUGUUUUAUUUUGAAAUCAGGAUUAUAGGUUCAUGGCUUCCAACAGAUUCAAGAAUCUGUUGUUAAUUAUCCCACACUUUCGGUGUUAAGGAACCCUCGAUUAAGAGACCAAAUAUAAAUGCUGAUAAUAAAAGAGACAAAACAGGCAAAUAAAAUUUUAUUGAUAUGAUUUGCCGUUUACAUGGCUUAAGCAGGGGCAUACCCCCACUGUACAUAAAUUGAAUCCUAAGUAUAUGUAUUAGGAUUCAGUUGGAUUUGAGAUUGAC
rnacentral:lncRNA from 1 species